AUUGAACGCUGGCGGCAGGCCUAACACAUGCAAGUCGAACGAGUGGCGGACGGGUGAGUAAUGUCUGGGAAACUGCCUGAUGGAGGGGGAUAACUACUGGAAACGGUAGAUAAUACCGCAUACCAUCAGAUGUGCCCAGAUGGGAUUAGCUUGUUGGUGGGGUAACGGCUCACCAAGGCGACGAUCCCUAGCUGGUCUUAGAGGAUGACCAGCCAAACUGGGAAUGAGACACGGUCCAGACUCCUACGGGAGGCAGCAUUAGGGAAUAUUUCACAAUGGGCGCAAUCCUGAUACAGCCAUGCCGGGUGUAUGAAGAAGGCCUUCGGGUUGUAAAGGACUUUUAGCGGGGAGGCGUUACCCGCAGGAGAAGCAACGGCUAACUCCGUGGCAGCAGCCGCGGUAAUUC
rnacentral:rRNA from 1 species